GCCGUCGUAGCUCAGCCUGGAAGAGCACUCGACUGUUUAAAUUGCAGGGUGAAGCUGAAGACCGAGCUGUCGUGAGCUCAAAUCUCACCGGCGGCA
rnacentral:tRNA from 1 species